rnacentral:rRNA from 1 species
UACGUAGGGUGCAAGCGUUAAUCGGAAUUACUGGGCGUAAAGCGUGCGCAGGCGGCUUUGCAAGACAGAUGUGAAAUCCCCGGGCUUAACCUGGGAACUGCAUUUGUGACUGCAUGGCUGGAGUGCGGCAGAGGGGGAUGGAAUUCCGCGUGUAGCAGUGAAAUGCGUAGAUAUGCGGAGGAACACCGAUGGCGAAGGCAAUCCCCUGGGCCUGCACUGACGCUCAUGCACAAAGCGUGGGGAGCAAACAGGG